GCUGCUCACCUGGUAAAGCUGCUGGACUCACCUGCUCAGGGGGCGAUGAGGUCAGGUUGGUGGGAGGAGCCAGUCGCUGUGCAGGAAGACCGGAGCUGAAAGUUCUUGGUGAACAGAGACCUGUGGUGGGCGUUGGCUUCUCCAUGAAGACAGCAGCUCUCAUCUGUGAACAUCUGAACUGUGGCUCUGCUGUUUCUGUACAACCAACUGAUGUGUCAAUUCAAUCUAUGUGGAUAAUCAACUCAGACUGUGUUCAAUCUGGAUCUGAUCUGUGGAGCUGUGUGGCAUCACGGAGAUCCUCUCUCACCCUGAAACUCACCUGCUCAGACCUGCUGCUCCAUCCAGUCCUCUCCGUGUCCUCCUCCUCCUCCAUGCUCGGGG